GAGAGCGACGGUAUGAGUUUUCACUCAUUUUGUUCAGCUUUUCCAAGGAAUGUUUUUUUGUAAGACUCAUCAUCGAUCCAAGCACAUUUGGAAACACAGGAUGUUUCACA